ensembl:snRNA
GAAAAGGGCUGCUGUCGUGGUGGCACAGGUAGGGGACUUGUUUGCUCUGCAUGCAGAAUCGACUUCAAGAGAUUUCAAAAGCCUAAUUUUUGUUACCUGGACAGCUGAUGAUCAUUGGUACCA